UCGGCCCGUGACCCGAAACGACCCUACUUGGGCCCUACAACAGCCACGUAAAGUUUCGGGAUGAUCCGACGUUCUUUCAUGGGGUUACGGACAAUCCACGCCAAACAAGCGUCACGGGCCGACCGAGCCGGGCCAACGGGCCCUCGGGACCCGAAAACUGAAUUUUUUUUCAUCCAAACCCAUUAAAACACGUUACCGAGGUCUCACGCAAAAUUUCAUGCCAAUCCGACGUCGUUUGAUGGGGUUUUGAGAUAUUUGUAGUUCUGCGAAAGAAAUAAACAAAUGAUAUAUCAAAUAAAUCAAUUGAGGUUGUUAGGGUAAAAAAGAAUGUCAAUGUGAGGAUUCGAACCCACGACCGCCUUGAUGUUUAGUUGUAAGAGAAAAGGCAAUAGGCCAAUUGAUCCAAGGGAAAUUUUUGUAGAAACUUUAACAAGAAAUAUAUAUAACUUCUCCGCACUUGUUAAUUGUUAUUUUCCAAAACUUUUAGAGGGCUUUUAAAAGUAUAGAUUAGACAAUGGUCACAAAUUAAUUGAAAACGGAAAUGGAGGUUUUUCUAACAAGUUAUGGCCGGUCAAAGUGCCCAAAAGAGUCAAAAUUAGCAUAAACAAUCUUAAUUGAAGGUGAAGGAGGCAAAAUUAGGAAAUUUUUUCUGGCCAAACCGCCUUCGGCAGUUUGCCAGCGUGUAGAGCUCGAAAAAAUAAGCAACUUUAAAAAAAGAAUCAGGUCAUUCCGAGGUGUGUGUCAAGAGUUAUCACCUUUCAAAGAUUUGGGAAAUGUUUCCAUAAAAGUUUUGGGAAAGGUUAUAAAACUUAUGGUUAACUGGUAUGCUAUUUUAACAUACAUCAUUCCUUGAUUUCUAGAUUACGAGCUACUCUCUUACAUGUAUGCCUUGGCUUUUCUAUUUAAUUGUCAGUACUGAUUAUGUUCUGAUUACCAGCUACUGUCUUAAAACUUGCAUGAAAGUUAACAUUGCCAUGGCUUACUUGGAUGAAGAGGCUGCAAAACCAAAUCAUAUUUUCUGACUAGGUUUCUUUCAGAGUAGUUACUGAUAUGUUGAGCUGGAUCAUUAUUUGGACUAGGUUUGUUUCAAACUUACUGAUAUCUACAUGGUUGACACCAGCUAUGGCCACCCACAAUAAUAAGUAUAUAAAUUUACUGGCGCGUUGAACUGCAUCAGAAUAUUGCAUGUUAAAACUUGCAUGAAAGUUUGCAUGCAUAUUGCCGUGGGAGAUUUGAAUCAUUAACAAACUCGUGACCAAUUCUUUGAAUCAUUGGCUGUGUCGUGACCCACGUUAAGCGGAACAAAUCCCCGGACCCCGAUCUUUUUUAAAAAGUAGUAGAAGCGGUAUAUAAAAUUUUCUAUGGAACCCAUAAAAUAAUUUAGUUGGACCCUAUAACAAUGAGAGUGAGCCUGGUGUAGUGGUAAAACCCCUUGUUUAUACACAAGAGGUCCCUAGUUCGAUACCUGUUUGUUUUGUUUUUUUGUGUUUUUUUAAACCUGAAUCACUCUAUUUUUUUUUUCUAUUUCAAUUUUUUCUCACCUAUAUUUACCUUAAACUGUAAAAGUGUAAUCUUUUUUUGUUCGUUAGAGAAAUCAUCUUUAUCAUCUUUUUGGAGGAUUAUAUCCUAUUAUAAUCCUCUAUGUUCAUAAGUUUAUGUUGUUCCUAUACUCGCAUUCGCUUAUUAGAUCAAUCGUUCACUUUUAUACCUCCAUUAUACCCCGUUAUUCUUCGUCUUUCAUACACACUUCGUUUACGAUCAAAUCUGUUUAUGCAUUCGAAUUCUAAACCACUUUCUUACUUUUUAAAACUAUAUUUUCCAUCUUUCACUUAAAUACAAACAUACUUACUUGCCCCUCACCUCCCAAAAUCGUUUUAAUUAAAAUGCCUAAGUUUCUCGUUCUUCAUCAAUGAAUAAUUUCCUACAAACAUGUGAUUUAAUAUUCCUAUUUGAAACCAACGAAACUCAUCUUACAAAUUACAGUGCGGCCACACUUUUCGUCAAAAUGCUUACUGUCUUUUUAUAUGAAGCUUUACUUCUUAGAUAGCAAAAUUGCUCCCACUCAUCUUGG
rnacentral:rRNA from 1 species